rnacentral:piRNA from 1 species
UCAGAGAACAAAAAGAACACAGGA